GACGAACCGUCCAAACGUUAUUCGGAAUUACUGGGCUUAAAGGGUGCGUAGGCGGCUCUGCAAGUUGGGUGUGAAAUCCCUCUGCUCAACCGAGGAAUGGCGCCCAAAACUGUGGAGCUCGAGGGAGACAGAGGUGAGUGGAACUUGUGGUGGAGCGGUGAAAUGCGUUGAUAUCACAAGGAACACCGGUGGCGAAAGCGGCUCACUGGGUCUCUUCUGACGCUGAGGCACGAAAGCUGGGGGAGCGAACGGGAUUAGAUACCCUGGUAGU
rnacentral:rRNA from 1 species